GGACCGGUGGCAGAGCCGGGUUAUUGCAGCGCUGAGAUGCCAGAUGCCGUGCACGCGCGGCGGCGCGAAGGCGCGUGGGGCCACCGGCGUGCCAUGCCCCACCAGGGGUUCGAAUCCCCUCCGGUCCG
rnacentral:tRNA from 1 species